CCUACGGGGGGCAGCAGUGAGGAAUAUUGGUCAAUGGGCGAGAGCCUGAACCAGCCAAGUCGCGUGAGGGAGUACUGCCCUAUGGGUUGUAAACCUCUUUUGUCGGGGAGCAAAAGCCGGACGUGUCCGGCUGUGAGAGUACCCGAAGAAAAAGCAUCGGCUAACUCCGUGCCAGCCGACGCGGUAAUAAGGAGGAUGCGAGCGUUAUCCGGAUUUAUUGGGUUUAAAGGGUGCGCAGGCGGAUUUUUAAGUCAGCGGUAAAAUGGUGGGGCUUAACCCCGUCCAGCCGUUGAAACUGGGGGUCUAGAGAGUGCGCGAGGUAUGCGGAAUGCGUGGUGUAGCGGUGAAAUGCAUAGAUAUCACGCAGAACCCCGAUUGCGAAGGCAGCAUACCGGUGCACAACUGACGCUCAGGCACGAAAGCGUGGGUAUCGAACAGGAUUAGAUACCCCGGUAGUC
rnacentral:rRNA from 1 species